rnacentral:rRNA from 1 species
CCUACGGGUGACAGCAGUGAGGAAUAUUGGUCAAUGGACGCGAGUCUGAACCAGCCAUGCCGCGUGCAGGAAGACGGCCCUAUGAGUUGUACACUGCUUUUGUACGAGGGUAAACGCAGAUACGCGUCUCUGUCUGAAAGUAUCGUACGAAUAAGGAUCGGCUAACUCCGUGCCAGCAGCCGCGGUAAUCCGGAGGGUUCAAGCGUUAUCCGGUUUUAUUGGGUUUAAAGGGUGCGUAGGCGGUCUGAUAAGUUAGAGGUGAAAUCCCGGGGCUCAACUUCGGAAUUGCCUCUGAUACUGUUCGGCUAGAGUGUAGUUGCGGUAUGCGGAAUGUGUGGUGUAGCGGUGAAAUGCUUAGAGAUCAGACAGAACACCGAUUGCGAAGGCAGCUUACCAAGCUACUACUGACGUUGAGGCACGAAAGCGUGGGGAGCAAACAGGAUUAGAUACCCGUGUAGUC